rnacentral:precursor_RNA from 15 species
CAGUUCUGUGGAUUCCUGUCACACUGGUUUAGAGGCUCCUUUCUCGAGUGGGAUAGUCUGAUCAACCCACUAGGGGGAGAAGUUUCUGUAUCAGCUGUAACCAGAAACAAUCUUUCCCU